UGGCUUCAGGCAAAGUAACACCUGUUUCU
rnacentral:piRNA from 1 species